UACGUAGGUGGCAAGCGUUGUCCGGAUUUACUGGGCGUAAAGAGCGCGCAGGCGGUCGAGUAAGUCGAAUGUGAAAGCCCCCGGCUUAACUGGGGAGGGUCAUUCGAUACUGUUCGACUUGAAGGCAGGAGAGGGCAGCAGAAUUCCCGGUGUAGUGGUGAAAUGCGUAGAUAUCGGGAGGAAUACCAGUGGCGAAGGCGGCUGCCUGGCCUGUUCUUGACGCUGAGGCGCGAAAAGCUGGGGGAGCAAACGGGG
rnacentral:rRNA from 1 species